rnacentral:lncRNA from 1 species
UUCUAGGUCGGACCGGCUGUUCCUCCUUAGAUGGUCACGUCUGGUUCUGGUUCGUGGCUGAGUUGGAUGGCCCUGAAGUUCAUCUAGCCUCUAAUGGAUUGCCUCCAAACCUGUAUUCAACAAGUUAGACAUAGAGUCAUUGAGAGCACGCAUUUGCAAGUUAGAUAAUCCGGCAUGUGAAUUUCCGGGUCGGUUUCUUUCUUCUUCACUAUCCAUGGCUACCUGAAAACUUAAACAAUGUAAAGUUAGAUUAAAAACCUCACACACUCAGGUGUUUAUCCUUACCCACACACGUGUUUUACUCAAUUUAGUAGUCACACAAGAGAGUUUCCCUCAAAGUUCUAAGAGAACAAACUAGAUAACCCAAAAUGAGAAUCCCAAGUGAAACACCCAAGAGACAAGAUAGAAAGAUAAGUGAUUUAACAAGGGGAAUCCGUAUUAACCACCUCCAAGGCCGGAUUUCUCCUCGGCCAGCGGGCUUACUCUUCCACCACCAAACCACAAUUGAAAACUUUUGAUAUCUUUUCUUUCUUUUUUUUUUUUUUGAUUAGAUCUUUCUUUUUUUUUUAAUAUAUGGAUGGUAAAGAGGGGUCCGGAUUCAAAGAUAGAUAGAAGAAGAAUUUUUUUUUUUAUGAAGAAAAUGAUAGAUGAGAAAGAUGGAAUGAAAAGAGAUACCAGAAGAGUGGCUCUGAUACCACUUGAAGAACCCUAAGGAACGAACACUCAACUGGAUCUGUUGAUAUGAACUCGAUCUGAAGAGAUAGAUAACUGAUGGAUUGUUUAGUGACACAAAGGGAUGCGGAAGACCCAAUGAUACUACUAGAACUCUCAAUGGCCGCUUGAUUUGACACACAAGUCCGGCUCAAAGAAAGGGGAUUCACUUGGAGAUAGCUUCACCAAGGGAACAAGAAUGUUCUAAUCAAAGAACAAAGAAAGAAAACUCAAAAAUGAAUAAGGAAAAUCGAUUAUCUUAUUUCAAGGAUGUGUUCUCAUACUUAUACAACUUAUAGUCAAAGAUAAUAAAUAAAAAUGUAUGAAAAAGAGACCUAGAAAAUAGAUAGAAGACCAAAUCUAGUCAAAGCACAUAAAAUAAUGUUGACUGGUCGAUUUGAACUCUUUGGCUACUCUUGUCCAGGUUUGGUGUAACUGAUAGCACGUCCCGCGAUAAUGAGC